rnacentral:rRNA from 1 species
GAGUAACACGUGAGCAAUCUGCCUUUCAGAGGGGGAUACCGAUUGGAAACGAUCGUUAAUACCGCAUAACAUAAUUGAACCGCAUGAUUUGAUUAUCAAAGAUUUAUCGCUGAAAGAUGAGCUCGCGUCUGAUUAGCUGGUUGGUAAGGUAACGGCUUACCAAGGCGACGAUCAGUAGCCGGACUGAGAGGUUGAUCGGCCACAUUGGGACUGAGACACGGCCCAGACUCCUACGGGAGGCAGCAGUGGGGAAUAUUGCACAAUGGAGGAAACUCUGAUGCAGCGAUGCCGCGUGAGGGAAGAAGGUUUUAGGGUUGUAAACCUCUGUCUUCAGGGACGAAAAAAUGACGGUACCUGAGGAGGAAGCUCCGGCUAACUACGUGCCAGCAGCCGCGGUAAUACGUAGGGAGCGAGCGUUGUCCGGAAUUACUGGGUGUAAAGGGAGCGUAGGCGGGAUCGCAAGUCAGAUGUGAAAACUAUGGGCUUAACCCAUAAACUGCAUUUGAAACUGUGGUUCUUGAGUGAAGUAGAGGUAAGCGGAAUUCCUAGUGUAGCGGUGAAAUGCGUAGAUAUUAGGAGGAACAUCAGUGGCGAAGGCGGCUUACUGGGCUUUAACUGACGCUGAGGCUCGAAAGCGUGGGGAGCAAACAGGAUUAGAUACCCUGGUAGUCCACGCCGUAAACGAUGAUUACUAGGUGUGGGGGGACUGACCCCUUCCGUGCCGCAGCAAACGCAAUAAGUAAUCCACCUGGGGAGUACGACCGCA